rnacentral:tRNA from 1 species
GCGGACGUGGCGAAAUUGGCAGACGCGCCAGACUUAGGAUCUGGUGCCGAAAGGCGUGCGGGUUCAAGUCCCUCCGUCCGCACCA